rnacentral:rRNA from 1 species
ACUACGGGUGGCAGCAGUGGGGAAUAUUGCGCAAUGGACGAAAGUCUGACGCAGCGACGCCGCGUGAGGGAUGAAGGUUUUCGGAUCGUAAACCUCUGUCAGGAGGGAAGAAAGCGCAUGGCGCCAAUCAGCCAUGCGUUGACGGUACCUCCAAAGGAAGCGCCGGCUAACUCCGUGCCAGCAGCCGCGGUAAUACGGAGGAUGCGAGCGUUAUCCGGAUUUAUUGGGUUUAAAGGGUGCGUAGGCGGUCCGGAAAGUCAGCGGUAAAAGCCCGGGGCUCAACCCCGGCGAGCCGUUGAAACUGUCGGACUAGAGACGGCGAGAAGUACGCGGAAUGCGCGGUGUAGCGGUGAAAUGCAGAGAUAUCGCGCAGAACUCCGAUUGCGAAGGCAGCGUACCGGCGCCGGACUGACGCUGAGGCACGAAAGCGUGGGUAUCGAACAGGAUUAGAUACCCCAGUAGUC